AACGAACGCUGGCGGCAGGCCUAACACAUGCAAGUCGAACGCCCCGCAAGGGGAGUGGCGCACGGGCGAGUAACGCGUGGGAAUAUGCCCUUCGGUUCGGAAUAACACAGGGAAACUUGUGCUAAUACCGGAUACGAUCUACGGAUGAAAGAUUUAUCGCCGAGGGAGUAGCCCGCGUAGGAUUAGCUAGUUGGUGAGGUAAUGGCUCACCAAGGCGACGAUCCUUAGCUGGUCUGAGAGGAUGAUCAGCCACGCUGGGACUAAGACACGGCCCAGACUCCUACGGGAGGCAGCAGUGGGGAAUAUUGGACAAUGGGCGAAAGCCUGAUCCAGCCAUGCCGCGUGAGUGAUGAAGGCCUUAGGGUUGUAAAGCUCUUUCGCCAGGGAAGAUAAUGACGGUACCUGGAAAAGAAGCCUCGGCUAACUCCGUGCCAGCAGCCGCCGUAA
rnacentral:rRNA from 1 species